rnacentral:rRNA from 1 species
UGGGGAAUUUUGGACAAUGGGCGCAAACCUGAUCCAGCCAUGCCGCGUGCGGGAAGAAGGCCUUCGGGUUGUAAACCGCUUUUGUCAGGGAAGAAAUCUUCUGAGUUAAUACCUCGGGGAGGAUGACGGUACCUGAAGAAUAAGCACCGGCUAACUACGUGCCAGCAGCCGCGGUAAUACGUAGGGUGCAAGCGUUAAUCGGAAUUACUGGGCGUAAAGCGUGCGCAGGCGGUUUUGUAAGACAGAGGUGAAAUCCCCGGGCUCAACCUGGGAACUGCCUUUGUGACUGCAAGGCUUGAGUGCGGCAGAGGGGGAUGGAAUUCCGCGUGUAGCAGUGAAAUGCGUAGAUAUGCGGAGGAACACCGAUGGCGAAGGCCAAUCCCCUGGGCCUGCACUGACGCUCAUGCACGAAAGCGUGGGGAGCAAACAGGAUUAGAUACCCCUGGUAGUCCACGCCCUAAACGAUGUCAACUGGUUGUUGGGAAGGUUCCUUCUCAGUAACGUAGCUAACGCGGUG